ACGAAGGGACGCUCAGCUGCAAAGACUACGUUUCCCAGAAGCGCUCUGUCCUGGUGGGAGACUAUAUCUCCCGGCGUUCCCUGCGGAGGGCGGAGGGUCCUGUUGCCGCGCGGUUCUUUGCCCAGCGUUGUUUGGCAGCGGCACUAAUAGCGUGGGUUCGUCUUUCCCGGGCCCCUCGGCGGCAUGGCGACGGGCGGGGAAGGCCGCGUCCCGCCGCCCUCGCCCAGCCCUGUUUCGGAGCCGGAGAGCCAGCCCAGCCCGGGCCCCCCGCCGCUGGCGCCGCUGCCCCGCCUGGAGAAGCCGCUGCGGCAAGCCUUCUACAACACGGGGGCGUUGGUGCUGGUGGGGCUGUGCUGCGGGGCCGCCGUGCUGGUCUACUUCAUCCUGGAGGCCUUCCUGCGGCCGCUCUUGUGGGCCGUGCUCUGCGGCACCUUCCUGCACCCCUUCAAGAGCUCGCUGACGGGCCUGGGCCGCGGGUGGCUGCGCCGCCUCCGCCGCGCCGGCACCCCGCCGCUGCUCCUGGCCGCCCUCCUCCUCCCGCUCAGCUGUGCCAACGCCACCGCCGAGGCCCUGGGCCGGCAAGUGGUAUGCUGGCGGAGGCCGCUCCUGCUGCUGGGCGCCGGCGGGCCCGCCCUCUACGGCCUCUUCGCCCUGGGCGCCUCCCUCGGAGCCCGCGCCGCCCUCGCCCAGGCCGCCCGCCUAAUCGGACGCGGCCUCGAGUGCUUCAGCAGCCCCUGGAUAUGGACCUUGAUAGCAGGCUAUCUGUUGAUUGUAUUAUUCAAGUGGAAUCGAAGCACUGAACGUUACUUGAGAAUAAUUUCUGUUCCUGUCUGGAUUAUACUGCUCUUUCAUUUGGCUUCUGCAGCCGGCUCUUGGAGGAUUCCAGUGUUUUUGGUUAUUGUUACCUUAAUGACUGUGGGCAUGUUGCAUGAGCAACCAACUGGGAAUGAGUCUUCAGGGUCAGAUCUUCCUGGUCAGAUGAUUUCAAUUGCUGCAUCCACAAUUGCCAUGGCAAUAUCAUUUACAGAGGAUGAAUCAUCUAAUGAAGAACAUUCAGCAAAACCCUCAGGGUCUACAGAAAGUGAUCGUACAUCUUCACCUUUUUCAUCCACUUUGCGUGGCAGACAGAAACCUGACUUUGGAGCUCUUCUUAAAAAGAAGAAGACCAGUGACAUCUACUUUAUUCUGCUUGCCUGGGCUGUUGUAGUAGUGCAGAUCUGGCUGAAUCUUUGGAUAAUUCAGUUGCUGCCAAUACCAUUUGCAGUGUGGAUCAUCAAAAAGCUUGUGGUUCACUUUGGAGUUGUGCAGUUCUUGGUGAGCCACUGUAACAGUUGGUGGCAUGUCAUGGAAGACUUUGUAAGAGAGCGUCAGGAAGCUCUUGCACCGUGGCCUAUCACAGGGCUUGGAAGAGUCAUUCUAAAACUAGACAGUAAGCUGUGCCAUUGGCUUAAUAAGAAGAUGAUCGUGUGGUUGGAGAAAAUGCUAGAUAAAAUCAUUAGUAUAUUCAUUAUAUUUAUACUAGUAAUAGGCACCCUCCUGUUGGCCCUACUUCUUACAGCAAAGGUCCACCAAGAAAGUGUACAUAUGAUUGAAGUCACAAGCAGCUUGAUUAAUGAAACUGUAGCCAAUCACCCAGAAUGGGCCAGCUGGCUUCCUGAAGCUGAGGUUAUUCAAAAGGCUCUGAAUUCUGCUGCCAAUAAUGUGUAUCAAUAUGGUCGAGAAUGGAUAACACAUAAGCUGCAUAAAAUAUUAGGAGAAAAGGUGAACAACACUGCUGUGAUUGAAAAGCAAGUGCUGGAGCUGUGGGACAGACUAUAUCAUACAUGGUUUGUGAAAAAUGUAACUCACACAGGGAGACACAAAGGACAUAAGCACCAUUUACAACGUCAGAACAGCUGGCCAAGUGAAAUGCUUGAUUGGCAAGAUGUUGCUUCCUUUGUCCAUGAGAACAUAGAAACAUUUCUUUCGAUCUUAGAAUCUCUCUGGAUAUUGAUGAGUCAUAAUAUGAACCUCCUCUUCAGCACAGUUACAACUUUAGUAACCGUCCUCUUCUACAGUGGCACUGCUCUCCUCAAUUUUGUACUCUCUCUGGUAAUUUUUUUGACCACAUUAUUCUACCUUUUAAGUUCUAGUGAUGAAUACUACAAGCCAGUGAAGUGGGUACUCAACCUGACACCUCUAUCACAGCCUGGCCCUUCCUCAAAUAUAGUUGGCCAGUCUGUGGAGGAGGCCAUAAGAGGUGUAUUUGAUGCAUCCCUCAAAAUGGCUGGAUUCUAUGGACUGUACACCUGGCUAACCCAUACUGUUUUUGGCAUAAACAUUGUCUUCAUACCCUCAGCACUAGCUGCACUACUUGGAGUUGUUCCAUUUCUGGGAACAUAUUGGGCAGCGAUACCUGCAGUUCUAGACCUUUGGCUUGUUCAAGGAGAAGGAUAUAAAUCCAUCCUCCUCUUGGUUUGCCAUCUGUUGCCAACAUAUUUUGUAGACACGGCAAUCUAUUCUGAUAUAUCUGGGGGAGGACAUCCAUACCUGACAGGCCUUGCAGUAGCUGGUGGAGCUUAUUACCUGGGACUAGAAGGAGCCAUAAUAGGACCCAUACUCCUGUGUAUACUUGUGGUAGCCUCUAAUAUCUACAGUGCUAUGCUUUUGAGUCCAACAUCCUCGUUGCCCACACCAUCACAAAUACCUUGGCCUUUACAGAUAUAUCGGACUGAUAACUUGAAGGCUGGGUUGCUGACCUGAAGGUUGCCGGUUUGAAUCCAACCCGGAGAGAGCUCCCUCUAUCUGCUCCAGCUCCAUGAGAGAAGCAUCCCACAAGGAUGGUAAAAACAUCAGGGUGUCCCCUGAGCAACGUCCUUGCAGACGGCCAAUUCUCUCACACCAGAAGUUACUUGCAGUUUUUCAAGUCGCUCCUGACACGAAAAAAAAUGCCCUGUGAGGAUCAGCUUAGGGAAUUUAGCAUGGAGAAGAGAUGGUUAAAAAGUGGCAUUAUAUUGGAAAGAAUAUCAAAUACAAGAUGGAGCACGCUCAUUUUUACUGCUCCAGUGACUACGACACAAAGCAAUGGAUUCAAACUUCUGUAUAGAAAAAGAGUUUCUACCUAAACACAACAAAGAACUUCCUGAUGACAAUCUAAAGAAAGUCCUGAGGAACUGAAAACUGCCACAGAGUGAAACAAAUAGUAUUUGGAUGUCUUCUACUGAAAGAACUCUUAUUUCUUCUUCUCAUGAAGCUCAGUGACCUUUGAGUCUUUCUCCAGCUGUGCCUAGUGACAGCCUUCACUGAUGCAGCCUUCUUAUAUGAGCAUACCUGCUAACGCCAUAGAUCACUCGCCUUUGCAAGUGGAAAUGUUUAAUGCCUGUUGUUUGCUUUUUACACAAACCUCAGAUAUUGAGUGGAUGGUUGCAACAUCUUCUCUUCCCCCCAAAACUCCCUGAGUUAUAUUUUGGUCUAGCUAGGCUUUCACCUGUUGACAUUUCUAAUUUUGUACUUAUAUUUUUAAAUAAUACACAUAAUUAGACUUUAAAAUUCAAACCACUUUUGUUCUUAAAAUAUCCAAUUUAGCCCUGUUCAGGUACUGUUGUAGGAAAUAUACAAAUCCUCCCUGUCUUUAUUUACCCUGUGUUAAUGACAGCUGAAUAUGACAUGUCUCAAGGAUAUUCAUAUUUGUGGAGGUAUUAAGUACUUGGUAAAAGCUGAGCAUGGUUUUGUGGAUUUUUACCUCAAAUUUAUUAUCACCUUUUUAAUCAACAACACUAUUGUGAUGUCAAUAACAUUGCUGUUGUCAGGAUACUAUAUCACUGAUGGCUUUGUAACAGCCAUGUGUAAUUAUUUUCUGCUAGGCUUGAAAAGGCUAUUCUUUCAUAGCAGGUAUGUGAAUAAUUUUUCCCAACAACUCAGAAUUAUAUUAAAAGUGAUCAGGGUCCCAAAGUUGCAAUAAGUUCCUUAAAACUAUUCGUGCAGAUUUUUCAAAUGCUUCAAUAUUUUCCAGAAAAUGUAGCACUACAGUGCAUGGCCUGGCAGGUGAAGUGUUUAGGGAUUUUAAGUCAUACAUGAAAAAUAUCUGUUUAUUAGUAUCUCCUUUUGCUGUGAAGCUUUGAAAAUCUUUGGCACAAGAUAAAGUGUAGUAACUUCUAUUACAAUUACCUCAAUGGAAUAAAACUUAAAUAAAUUAUUCAAAAUCGUAAUGAUAGGACAUGAACAUACAUUUCAGCCGUAUCAUAUAUUCAUACCCAUAAGACUUAAGGAUAUGUGUUCCCUUUACAAUGUUCGGGUAUUGAACAAAAAGAAUUUAGUAUUUUCUUCAGAACAUAGUGUCUGGAUUGACUGUGUUUUCUGAACGUUUGAAAAGAUGGGGAGUUCCAAUUUAAAAUUGAAUCUCUCCUUCCAAUAAAUGUUGAUUCUAUUUUGGAUUAAUAUUUAUCCUGUUGAUACCUCGAAUGCCAUUCAAUGAAUUCAUUAUAUUCCUCUGUUGGGUUUUAUAAGAUUCAGAUACAGUAAUAGUAUAUAUCAGCAUCUUAUUUUUGUCAGAAAAAUCACAUGUUAAAUAUUUCAGGAGAUAAUCUCUCAAAGAAUCUGUUACAACAUCUGUAGAUCAAGAACCAACACAAUGAUACAGUUUGUUCUAUCUUUGCUGGAAAUAUUUAAACAAGUCAAUCUCUUGGGGAUGCUAUAGAGAUAUCCUCCAUUGUUGAGAUUGUGCUGAGCAGAAGCUGGAUUUGAAUGAUCCCAAGAUCCAUUCCAACCCUUUGAUUCAUUGUGGAAACCAAAGGCUGUUUUUGUCACAAAAUCAGACCUGAUGUUCCCACCUUUUAUUCCAAUAUUCUGCAUAAGAAUAAAAGAAAUCGGACAAUAAUGAUCUCAUUUCUGAGACCAAUCUAAGUUUCUUCAGAAGAUUCUUAAGUCCCAUUUCUUUUAGAACUGUGGGAAUUGCUUCCUGUCUUAGAGGAGUAUGUACAACUUGUGAUGUCCAUAUUUGCAUUUAGCAUAUUUCAACAGCCAGGUUGGGCUAGGAUCCAGCACAUACUAGUCCAGAGUUUUCCCAAGUAGCUUGUCCAUAUCCUGAAAUUUCACAAUCAAAUACAGUGGGACCAAGCAGUUGGCCUAGCUGCAUCUGCCUGUAAGAGUCCAUUUCUAACUCUCAAAAUUAUGACAUCUUAGUCAGCAUGACAGAGCCCCCGGUGGCACAGAGGGUUAAACCGCUGAGCUACUGAACUUGCUGACCGAAAGAUUGGCAGCUCAAAUCCGGGGAGCGGGAUGAGCUCCUGCUGUUAACUUCAGCUUCUGCCAACCUAGCAGUUCGAAAACAUGCAAAUGUGAGUAGAUCAAUAGGUACCACUCUGGUGGGAAGGUAACAGCACUCCAUGCAGUCAUGCCGGCUACAUGACCUUGGAGGCAUCUACGUACAACGCCGGCUCUUCGGCUUAAAAAUGGAGACAAGCAACAACCCCCAGAGUCGGACACGACUAGACUUAAUGUCGGGAAAACCGUUACCUUUACCUAAGUCAGCAUGAGUAUUCUCUUUGUGAAAUGUUAUUCAAAUUGGUUUUUUUAAGAAGCUCAUACUGACGCUCAGUUCCUAGUAGGUUCAGAACAGGUUUAGAAGUGACAAAAUGAGCAUUUGUAUGCAGUAAAAUGGCAUGUAUGGUCCACACAGAGGAGCAAUUCUCGUUUUGAAAUAAACCCACUAACAAUCUCUCAUUUUCAGAGGCCUGUAAGAAUACCUUUUUGGUUGCUACAUGAAAUACAUCAAUGGAUCCAAAAUACAGGAAGAAUAUAUAGAAUGUUUUCUAUAAUUUCUUUCUAUGUCCAUAUUAUAUUUUUUUUCUGUAAAGUUUAAAUAUAGGAGCUGCUUGGUUCCUACACAGGUAUAGGCAGUGUGCUCAGCUCUUGAUUUCAUUCCUGGCCAAAAGGAUAAGCUGAGUUCUGUUGGAGAGAAAUGUUGGAGGCUGACAGCUAGAUUAUCAGCCAAAUACACUGGAUUGCGCAAAUAAAAAUAUAUAAUCUCCACUAUUGAUAACAUUUCACUUUUUGUAUAAUAGCCUAGAACAUUGCUCAGAUGGACUUCUCUUUCCUCUCGUCCUUUACACCCCUGCAUCACAAAUCUGCUCCAGCAUCUUCUGAUGCAAAUCUUGAGAUAUAUAGUGUGAUUAAGAGGAAGAAGAGAAUCCAUUCUGACAGCAGUGUCUGUUCCACUGACAGAUGAACACAGUUGAAUCCACUAUAAUAUAUUUAAUAUUAAUAUUUAAUAUUAAUCUUAUGCAUGUUCAACAUUUUUCAAAUCCUCAGUCUAAAUAUAUUGUUUUUUUGAAAUGUUUAAAAAAUGAAAAAUGUUUUGAUUUGGGUUUUUUCCCAAAUAAUUCACAAUAAAAGUGUUAUAAAUUUGAUAA